rnacentral:rRNA from 1 species
CGUAUGGAGCGAGCGUUGUCCGGAAUUAUUGGGCGUAAAGAGUACGCAGGCGGUUUAAUAAGUCGAAUGUUAAAGAUCGGGGCUCAACCCCGUAAAGCAUUGGAAACUGAUAAACUUGAGUAGUGGAGAGGAAAGUGGAAUUCCUAGUGUAGUGGUGAAAUACGUAGAUAUUAGGGGGGAAUACCAGUAGCGAAGGCGACUUUCUGGACACAAACUGACGCUGAGGUACGAAGCGUGGGGAGCAAACAGGAUU